rnacentral:rRNA from 1 species
UACGUAGGGUGCAAGCGUUAAUCGGAAUUACUGGGCGUAAAGCGUGCGCAGGCGGUUUUGUAAGUCGGACGUGAAAUCCCUGGGCUCAACCCAGGAACUGCGUCCGAUACUGGAAGGCUUGAAUCCGGGAGAGGGAUGCGGAAUUCCAGGUGUAGCGGUGAAAUGCGUAGAGAUCGGGAAGAACAUCGGUGGCGAAAGCGCUCUACUGGACGGUAUCUGACACUGAGGGACGAAAGCUAGGGGAGCGAAUGGG